rnacentral:rRNA from 1 species
UACGUAGGGGGCGAGCGUUGUCCGGAUUUAUUGGGCGUAAAGAGCGUGUAGGCGGCUAGGUAGGUCCGUUGUGAAAACUCGAGGCUCAACCUCGAGACGUCGAUGGAAACCAUCUAGCUAGAGUCCGGAAGAGGAGAGUGGAAUUCCUGGUGUAGCGGUGAAAUGCGCAGAUAUCAGGAAGAACACCCGUGGCGAAGGCGGCUCUCUGGUACGUGACUGACGCUGAGACGCGAAAGCGUGGGGAGCAAACAGG